ACCGCAUAGAAGUAAAGAGAUGGAGCUGCAAUGUCGUUUCCAAGAUUCAGCUUGAUGGACGUUCGAUGCGUCUGCUCUGAUCAUUUGACAGUGCAGGCUCUCAGCUUGUGUUCGUUGAGUGCAUUUAUUGGAAAUGGGCACUGCGACCGGUAUCUGUGCUGGUAGAAGCUUGGAAUAUCGUGGGCAGGCCAAUUCGGUAUCUGAUUCCCAUUUUUCAAUGCCUACCUGGUCGCGGAAACCGUGUAAUUUUGCACUGGCUUGUCUCAGUUUGUAUGAUAAGGCGUUGACUGAAAUUCUAUACCCUGCUUGCAGGCUAUGGUAACUCUUAGCGCUUAUAUUGUGCAUUCCUGAAUCAGUGCAAAGUGUCUGCAGUGUAUGUGUCAGCCACCCAUCUCACCCGUCUUGAAACACGGACCAAGGAGUCUAACAUGUGCGCAAGUCAUUGGGCGGAAAACCCAAAGGCGAAAUGAAAGUAAGCUCCACUUGUGGAGAGAAGUACGAUCCCCGUUUAUCGGGGCGCAGUACUGUCCUGUCUUAUCUGCAUUGUCAGUUAGGCAGAGAAAGAGCGUACAUGUUGGGACCCGAAAGAUGGUGAACUAUGCCUGAGCAGGAUGAAGCCAGAGGAAACUCUGGUGGAGGUCCGUAGCGAUUCUGACGUGCAAAUCG
rnacentral:rRNA from 1 species